rnacentral:rRNA from 1 species
GUGGGGAAUAUUGCGCAAUGGGGGAAACCCUGACGCAGCAACGCCGCGUGAUUGAAGAAGGCCUUCGGGUUGUAAAGAUCUUUAAUUGGGGACGAAAUAAAUGACGGUACCCAAAGAAUAAGCUCCGGCUAACUACGUGCCUGCAGCCGCGGUAAUACGUAGGGAGCAAGCGUUAUCCGGAUUUACUGGGUGUAAAGGGCGAGUAGGCGGGCCGACAAGUUGGGAGUGAAAUCCGGGGGCUUAACCCCCGAACUGCUUUCAAAACUGUUGGUCUUGAGUGAUGGAGAGGCAGGCGGAAUUCCCAGUGUAGCGGUGAAAUGCGUAGAUAUUGGGAGGAACACCAGUGGCGAAGGCGGCCUGCUGGACAUUAACUGACGCUGAGGCGCGAAAGCGUGGGGAGCAAACAGGAUUAGAAACCCGAGUAGUCC